rnacentral:rRNA from 1 species
AGUGAACGCUGGCGGUAGGCCUAACACAUGCAAGUCGAACGGCAGCACAGAGGAGCUUGCUCCUUGGGUGGCGAGUGGCGGACGGGUGAGGAAUACAUCGGAAUCUUCUCUGUCGUGGGGGAUAACGUAGGGAAACUUACGCUAAUACCGCAUACGACCUACGGGUGAAAGCAGGGGACCUUCGGGCCUUGCGCGAUUGAAUGAGCCGAUGUCGGAUUAGCUAGUUGGCGGGGUAAAGGCCCACCAAGGCGACGAUCCGAAGCUGGUCUGGGAGGAUGAUCAGCCACACGGGAACUGAGACACGGUCCAGACUCCUACGGGAGGCAGCAGUGGGGAAUAUUGGACAAUGGGCGCAAGCCUGAUCCAGCCGUACCGCGUGGGUGAAGAAGGCCUUCGGGUUGUAAAGCCCUUUUGUUGGGAAAGAAAUCCAGCUGGCUAAUACCCGGUUGGGAUGACGGUACCCAAAGAAUAAGCACCGGCUAACUUCGUGCCAGCAGCCGCGGUAA